CUAGGGGUGGUGGUGGUGAUCAUUUCUUCCUUGUAUCUAGCACGUAUUCCUUUGGGUGGUAUUCCUUUGGGUGGUAUUAAGUCUCUUAAUCUUUGGAUCUAGCAUGUUUUCCUUUGGGUGGUAUUAAGUCUUAGUUCUUUGUAGGAUCUAGCAUGUCUUCCUUUCGGUGGUAUUAAUUCUAUAUUUCUUUGUAACGCAUGUCUUCCUUUGGGUGGUAUUAAAUCUUUUUCUUUUGUAUCUAGCAUGUAUUUCUUCGAGCAACUACAGAAACAGGCUGCCGUUCUUGUGCACUACAUCAACAGGCAUAUGAACGGGGGGACCGAGCAGCGUUGCGACAAAACGAAGCUGAGCGACAAGCAGAGGGAACCUCGGCGACGAGAGGUUAGAGCUUGCUGACCUGGAAGCUGAAACCGAACGAAUGCGACUUACCGCUCAAGUCAUAUGAACGGGAGGAGCUCGCGACAAGCACAGGGAAGAAGCUGAGCGACUUACCGCUCAAGGUAAGCCUGACGCUGUUACCAUCAGAGAUGUAGGUGUUCGUCCCACGUUACCAGGAAGACAUCGCUACAUACCUCACCCGUUUUGAGUGGCAGGGCUGUUAAAGCUCGAACCAAGUACGUAUGCUGUGAGGUUGGGAUGUCUCUUGACGGGCAAAGGUGAUCUAUAUAAGUCUCCCUCUCUUCUGAGACCACCAAUGAUUGACUUUCCCUAAAGCACUUCAUAAUACUCGACCAGUUCUCGGCUUCGCUGAAUCCUGACAUCCGCACCUUCAAAGAACACCGACCGUCGUCUCUUGCCCGAGUACUACAGCUAGCUGAUGACUGGGCAUCGGCACACUACACCAGCAAACCCUCCUUCAGGUCUUCCCCGCGAUCCUUCAAGCUUCCUCCCAAGAAAACGCUGCCUGUUCACUCGUCGCCUUCACCAACUUCUCCACUACCAGGGGUACUGGCUGUUCCUGCGUUGUGGUCGCAGUUCUACCUGAUGCUGCCAUUAGCAACUGCCGUUCCUGUUAAGUUGGUGACUACGUGGGCAGUGUCCAUACAUUUCCAUCGUCCAGUGUUACAUCAGUAUGUGCUGUGCAGACUCGUGCCUCGACCACUAGCAUGAAGUGCCUCCACCCACUUCAUCUUCCGGGUACAUCUUCCGGGUCUCCAGCCUGUCUGUCAACUGAGGUAUUUGAAUAUUGCACAUGAAAAUCCUUUAGCUGGUCACUACCCUCAUCGCUAGACAGAGCAGAAGGUUGCUGACCACUUCUUAUGGCCAGGAAUGGGUACUGACAUCAGAGCACACUGUCGUUCUUGCGACAAGUGCCAGUGCUUUUCUCAAGAGACGCAUAAAACCUGCCCCCUUGCAGUCUGCCCAUCGUUGCCAAACCCUUUGCGCAGGAUGGUGAGGUGAUGUCAGGGCAGGCACCCACACGGACUAGCUCAUCCACCUACUGACUACUACUGAUGCUGCUACUAUUGUAUCUUUCAGGAGGAACGAGAUACAAUCUGCUACCCCUGCCACCACUGCUGCUACCCCUGCCACCACCGCUCCUACCUUUUCGCAUAUCCUUGUUUGUGGGGAUGUGUAAAGGCCCUCGUUAAGUUUGGAUCUCCGCCACCGUGAGGCUUCGGUACCACGAGGCUUGGCCUUAGCUCCGCCUUUUCCGAGCCUACGAUGAGAGGCUACGAUAAGGCCCAGGCAGAAACCAGCGCCUCCGUCUCUUGGUGAACUUGUCUCUCCAAGCGGAAGAGCCUCGUCUCUCCAAGCUGGUUCCUCGUCUCAGCGGAAGAGCCUCGUCUCUCCUAGCUGGUUCCUCUGCUUUGCGAAAGAGCAGCCAGCCUAGGCUCCUGCUUCUUUCCAUAUCUACAUCUGCCACCGCUGUCGUCUCCCUACUGCAUACCAGCUUCUGGACUUCACCUGCUGGCUUCUUGCCGAGUGGAUUUUCACUGGUGCGCCUUACCCCAGUGACUCUACACGCCGUCCUUGCACACAUCAGUGGUCUUCACCUGCUGGCUUCUUGCCGAGUGGAUUUUCACUGGUGCGCCUUACCCCAGUGACUCUACACGCCGUCCUUGCACACAUCAGUGGUUCGGUUAUGUGUUAUUGUCUGUUAAUACUCAUUCUGUUUUGUCUUCUUUUCCUAUCCAAAGGGCUACACUAACUAAUCCUGGCAUAAAAUCAUUUACUUUUGAGGACGAGAGAUCGUGGCCUCCCUUUUCCCUCACACUUAUUUAAUAGUGGUCUAUGUGAAUGAGGAGUCUAUGGAGUUGUUUGUUGUUUGCAUCAUUCUCGCUUAUGGGAAGUAGUGGGAAGCAAAUUGUCAUGGUACGGUAAGUCCAGAGAUUUAUUACUCGGUCUGAUCCAGGAGAAAACUUCUCUAAUAGAUGCCAAACUUGUACAUAGAUGCCAAACUUGUACACUUGCAACUCAUCUCCACUCGUAAUGACUAUUCAAAUUAAACGAGUAUUAUGUCCUUUCGGGAGAUUAACGCAGUAUCUCUAUCUAUUUAUCUGUAUCUAUCCAACUUUUUACUGAUAUCUCAAUCUAUCUGUUAUCCAUCCAUCCAUGUACACUACCAAUCCACGUUGAUAUGUAUUCUAACUUGGUAUCUCCGUUUUGUCUGUCUACCUACCUGUUUACCGACGUCUCAAUCCAUCUAUCUGUGAUCCAUCCAUGUAUACUAUCCAUCCACGCUAUGUAUUCUUUCUCCAGUACAACGAAUAAACAUGUCAAACUCCCAAUA